CCAAUUGCGUAUAUUAAAGUUGUUGCAGUUAAAAAGCUCGUAGUUGAAUUUCGGGAUCAGUACGUCGGUCGUGCCUUCGGUAUGUACUGGUGUCACUGGUUCCUCCCUUCUGACGAACCGUCAUGCCAUUCACUUGGUGUGGCGGGAAAUCAGGACUGUUACUUUGAAAAAAUUAGAGUGUUUAAAGCAGGCUCACGCUUGAAUACAUUAGCAUGGAAUAAUGAAAUAGGACGUUGAUCUUAUUUUGUUGGUUUCUAGGAUUGACGCAAUGAUUAAUAGGGAUAGUUGGGGGCAUUAGUAUUCAAUUGUCAGAGGUGAAAUUCUUGGAUUUAUUGAAGACUAACUACUGCGAAAGCAUUUGCCAAGGAUGUUUUCAUUAAUCAAGAACGAAAGUUAGGGGAUCGAAGACGAUCAGAUACCGUCGUAGUCUUAACCAUAAACUAUGCCGACUAGGGAUCGGAUGAUGUUAAUUUUUUAAUGACUCAUUCGGCGCCUUACG
rnacentral:rRNA from 1 species